rnacentral:lncRNA from 1 species
CUCUGAGUUACCCACAACAGGAAAAACACCAUCACAAUACAACCUUUCUUUCCAGAUCCUCUGCUGUCCCUGGAUACCACGAGAGUCCAUUUCAGCCACAGUAGGAACAAAGACAUUUAUUUUGAUUUAUGGCUUCCUAUCUGCUCCCCCUUAGCCACAAGAUGCUGAUCUCCAAACAGACACAUCAUCUUUGCAUAUCUCUGCUCCCCAACCAGACAGUGACCUAUCUCAGAAGUCAAACUGAGAUCAAAUGUUACUUUCCAGUUCGUGUGUAAAAAAACAUUGAAUCACAAGAGGAACUAGAGGAAAAAGAUGUCCAUUCUGCAUACUGCUGUGUUCACAUCACCAGGGAUUUCACUGGGCAGCCAUGAUUUUUCACUUCUCCAGUUGCUUCAUAACAAGGCUACGUGUGCAUGAUUUACAUGAUCUUUUGGCUUCCAGCAGACUCUUCAGAUCCCCUCCAGAUGGAUGGAGUUUUUCAACAGUCUGCAUAGCCCUCGUGGGAAGUAUGUGUGAAUAUGGGCUGAUCCCAUGGGAGAAGCUGGCAUCAGAAGAAAAACUUCAUUAUGAAUUGGUGCCAUGCCAUCCUCAGAUGCUUGGCUAGGAAUAAAAGUGUGUGCAAGCUGCAGGAGAAAAGCAACUACUUGCUGGAGCAUGGAGAGGAGGGUGCUGGAG